AUCUGCCUUCAGGACAGGGAUAGCCCAGAGAAAUUUGGGGUAAUACCUGAUGAAAUCGAGAGAUCAAAGGGGCUUCGGCUUCGCCUGGAGAUGAGCCUGCGUCCCAUCAGGUAGUUGGUAAGGUAAAGGCUUACCAAGCCGAUGACGGGUAGCUGGUCUGAGAGGAUGAUCAGUCACAAGGAAACUGAGAUACGGUUCCUACUCCUACGGGAGGCAGCAGCCAAGAAUAUUCCGCAAUGGGCGAAAGCCUGACGGAGCAAUGCCGCGUGAAGGAAGAGGGCCUUCGGGUUGUAAACUGCUUUUCUAAGUGAAGAAUAAGGCAGAUAGGGAAUGAUCUGCUGAUGACGGUAACUUAGGAAUAAGCCCCGGCUAAUUACGUGCCAGCAGCCGCGGUAAUACGUAAGGGGCGAGCGUUGUUCGGAAUUACUGGGCGUAAAGGGCGCGUAGGCGGCUGUGCAAGUCGGAUGUUAAAGACCACGGCUUAACCGUGGGCAAGCGUUCGAAACUGUACGGCUAGAGUCUGGUGGAAGGUGAUGGAAUUCCCGGUGUAGCGGUGGAAUGCGUAGAUAUCGGGAAGAACACCGAAGGCGAAAGCAGUCAUCUAUGCCGAGACUGACGCUGAGGCGCGAAAGCGUGGGUAGCAAACAGGAUUAGAUACCCUGGUAGUCCACGCUGUAAACGAUGUACACUAGGAGUUGGCGGGGACCGUUAGCUCCGAAGCAAACGCGAUAAGUGUACCGCCUGGGGAGUACGGUCGCAAGACUGAAACUCAAAGAAAUUGACGGGGGCCCGCACAAGCGGUGGAGUAUGUGGUUUAAUUCGAUGCUAAACGAAGAACCUUACCAAGACUCGACAUAGUAGUGAAAUCUGCUGAAAGGCAGAGUUCCUUCGGGACGCUAUUACAGGUGCUGCAUGGCUGUCGUCAGCUCGUGCCGUGAGGUGUUGGGUUAAGUCCCGCAACGAGCGCAACCCUUGUCUUUAGUUGCCACCGUAAGGGGAACUCUAAAGAGACUGCCGACGACAAGUCGGAGGAAGGAGGGGAUGAGGUCAAGUCAUCAUGGCCUUUAUGUCUUGGGCUACACACAUACUACAAUGGUCGGUACAGAGGGGAGCGAAUGGGCGACCUGGAGCAAAUCUCUAAAACCGACCUCAAUACGGAUUGCAGUCUGCAACUCGACUGCAUGAAACUGGAAUCGCUAGUAAUCGUGGGUCAGCUAAACCACGGUGAAUACGUUCUCGGGCCUUGUACACACCGCCCGUCACACCACCCGAGUUGGUUUUUCCUGAAGUUAGUUACUCUAACCGUAAGGGGGA
rnacentral:rRNA from 1 species